UUAAAGUUUUAUUCUUGCUUUAAUUUAUUUUAUUUAAAUAUUAUAUAUGCAUUUUUAUUUUCUAAAUGUAAUUUUUAUUUUUGCAGUGUUUGUCAUUGAAUAUUAAUUUAUUUUAGAUUCAGUAAUUUAUUUAGGAAAGGCAAAUGUCGUGCCAGCAGCCGCGGUUAUACGUUAUUUUCAAGAUUAAUUUUUUUGGUUAUUUGGGAUUUUUUUUGUGAAUUUUUAUUAUAAUUUUUGGUGGAAUAUUAAUUAUUUUAUUUUUUGCUUUUAUUUCUUUUUUUUUGUUAAGGCUAUUUUUUUAAACUAGGAUUAGAUACCCUAUUAUUUUAGAUUUUUUUUUAUACCAGGGUAGUAAAUUAUUUUUUUAAACCUAAAGAAUUUGGCGGCAUUUUAUCUUUUUAGAGGAACCUGUUCUUUGAACGAUGUUACACGAUUAGCAUUACUAAUUGUAUUUGUUUGUAUAUUUCCGUUAUUAGAAUAUUUAUUGAUAAUAUUUUCUUGUUUUUUUAUUAAAAUUGAUUUCAGGUCAAGAUGCAGCUUAUUUUUUAGUAGUAAAUGGGUUACAAUAAUUUUAUUUAUAUGGAUAUUUUUUUUAAAUUUUAAAUUGAAGGUGGAUUUAUUAGUAAGUUUUAAUAAUUUUUAAUUCUGAAUUUGUUCUAAUUUGUGUACAUAUCGCCCGUCGCUCUCAUUUAUUUGAGAUAAGUCGUAACAAAGUAGAUUUACUGGAAAGUGAAUCUGGAUUAUC
rnacentral:ncRNA from 1 species